UACGUAGGGUGCGAGCGUUAAUCGGAAUUACUGGGCGUAAAGCGUGCGCAGGCGGUUCGUUAAGACAGAUGUGAAAUCCCCGGGCUCAACCUGGGAACUGCAUUUGUGACUGCAUCGCUAGAGUACGGCAGAGGGGGAUGGAAUUCCGCGUGUAGCAGUGAAAUGCGUAGAUAUGCGGAGGAACACCGAUGGCGAAGGCAAUCCCCUGGGCCUGUACUGACGCUCAUGCACGAAAGCGUGGGGAGCAAACAGG
rnacentral:rRNA from 1 species